UUGGGAACAGGUGUUAGCUCAGUGUGAAUCUUCCUCAGCAAAAAAGAAAAAAAGAAAAGAAAAAAGAUAAAACAAGGUAUUGAGCAUAUGACAAAGUAACAGAAAUAAGCAGGAAAACUUGAGAAAGAACCAAAAAUACAUCUAGAAAUGAAAAUUUUGAUAAUUUAAAUAAAUUCGAUGGACAGUAUAAACAGCUGGUUAAAUAUAGCUAAAAAGAGAAUUGGUGAAGUAGAAGUUAGAUCUGAGAAAUCACCCAAAUUAAAGCAUAGAGAGAUGAAGAAAUAGAAAAAAAUAUGAAUGAAACAUCAAGAGUUACAGAGAACAGAGUGAGAGACAUUGACAUGGACUAGUCAGAAUUUCAGGAGACAAAUGAGAAUGCAAGAGAGGGAAUCUUCAAAGAGAUAAUGGCUGAACAUUCUUUGUAAUUGAUGAAAGAAAUGAAUUUAUAGAUUCAGAAAGCCAAAUAAAUUCCUAUCAGGAUAAAUGAAAAGAAAUUUACACUUAGAAACAUUAUAGUGAACUUAUAGAACCUGAACUAUAAAGGGAAAGUCUUAAAAGUAGCUAAGGAAAAAACAGGUUACUCCACAGGAAUCAUAAUCAGAUUGACAGCUGACUUUGCAACAUCAACAUUGGAAAACAGAUGACAAUGGUACAACAAAUGUGCGAGUGUUUAUUUCAGAUGUUUUAGUUGGAGCUUGAAGGUUGGAGUAAAUUUCAGUCCAUCUAGAAUCUGGGCUCUAGGUGAGAGCAUAAUGUCUACUUCAGAAAAGCAUAAAAUAUAGAAGGAGUCUAGCAGUGAAGGUCUUAAAGGGUCUGCCUUUAAUCUGCCUUGUAAGAAGCCAAGGAAAUCCAAAGAAUAGCACAAAAAGAGCAAGACUACACUUUCUUUGGCCUUUACUAUGGUAAGGGGUGCUUUUGCGCAUGCACAGGAGUCUUGGAAAUUGCCAUUGCCCAAGAUCACCCAGGGUAACAAUAGUGACCAAUGGAGGGCAAAGAGGUGGAUUUGAAUUUCAGCAUGUGACUUUCCAGAUGGAGGCUGCAGAAAUUCAAUUGAUGGUUUGAAAUUGAACUUUUCCAAAACUCAAAAGAGAGGCAGGUUAUUUAUUCGGUAAGAGCUAUUUUGCUGAUAACAUUAGAGGUGAAAAGCUCUUGGGAGACAAUUUAGUUCAAGCUCCCAAUUUUAAAGGUCAGAAAACUGAUGGUCAGAAAGGAGAAGCAACUAGCUUAUGGUUACACAACCAGGCAACUAACAUACUGGGGCUAGAAACCAAAUUUCCCGUUAUGUUCUGCUGGAAUUUUUCCCUCUAGGAGACAUAGGAGAGUUAAGCACCCAAAUAAAAACAGUGUCUCAGACAUGAUCUUUAAUGCAGUGAUUUUUUUUGUCCCUUGUUUUUCAUUCACGUCCAGGCAGCUCAGGGGAACAUCUUGAAUGAGCAAGGUCGGAGCAUCCUGGAAGCCUUUUCCUGCUUGGAAACCCCUGGUCAGUUAGGACUAGGAUCAGGACCAUCCACCUGCUCCAGGCUCUGUGGGAGUGCUGAGGGAAUUGGGCCUUCUAUUUAUGUUAGUUUGGAUGGUUAGUUAUGUAAAUAUGUGUCUAUUUAGUGUGCUCAGCUUUUAAAUCAGAUCUAAUGGUAAUAUUGGUUUGCUUCCCAUAUUGCCCAGUGAGGAGCAGAUCAUUGCCAGUAACUUUUGCAUGAGGAGAAUUACAAAUUGUUCAUGCAAACAUGGCAUACUCUUUAUUUUGAAUGCUUUACAUUUUGUUUACUUAGGUUUGAAACACGAUAGAGGUAGACAUGCCCUUGGCGCAUAUCUCCCAUGUUUUUCAUCCCAAAGUGUGUACUGAGUAUACCUUAUGGGGUAAAAUCACUUGAAAUGCUCCAUGCUGCCGGGUUUCACCUUCCCUGAUUCCAAGAGUUAUCCAGCCAACCCUUCAUUACAGAACUGGCCCCAGGCAGCCCGGAGGCCUGGCGACAAUGUGUUGCAUGAUGCACAAAGCCCUGUCAGUUACCCUGACCAGCCUCCAACAUCGUUUCUGGAACUUUGUCUGAGGCAGAAUCCCUCACCCCACCUUGAGCCACUCUCCAGCUACCUAGACAACUGCUUCAUUUGGCUAAUGGUGACCCGGGUCUGGCUUUCUCUUCAUUUUUAUUUCCUGGGGGCCAACAGCCAUAGGUUCUGUGGGAAUCAAACAAGAAAAGAGUAGCACGUCAGAGUGGAAUUUUCCCAGCCUGUAUUCUCCUUCCAAGUGCAGAUUCCCUGGCUGGGUACAGCCUGCAGGACUGUGGAUGUGAGUGAAAGAGAAGGCAUUGUGUUGGAUGGACUGCGUGGAUAUUCUGGGACAAUAACCACAAAGCACUGAGCGUAAGGGGCUUCUUAAAGCUUCGGACCCUGUCAGGCAACUCGGGACUGUUGUUCCCUAGCCCUUCUCACAUAUUCUCUCCCUUUCCCCUGUGGCAAAGACCUUCUGGCAUGGAACAUCCUCUGUUGUCCUAGAAACAGGUCAGAGCUUCUUUUUAUCCUGAACAUAAAUUUGCAUGGUUUAGAAAAAUAAACCGAAAAAGUGCAUUGGAAUAGACUUUCUGGAGGGCACCCUGACAAUAGGCAUCAAAAACUAAAAGGCAAUUACAGUUUCGGGGAUUUAUUCCAAAGAAACAAUCAGACUCAUACAUAAAGCUCUCAGUACAAGAUGUUCAUCAGAGUGUUGUUUAUGAGAAGGCAAUGGGAUUCCAGAGUUUCUACUAAGUGCAGUUAGGCAACAUCUCUUCCACCACAUAUGCAUUUGCAUCCACUAGUUUAAGAGGCUGAACACAAGGCUAAGUGAGGAGCUGAAGAGUUUCCUGAGGAUAAAUAAUUGAGACUCUGUCUUUUUUUUAGGUUGAGAUAUAUAUAGGCAGGUCUGGUGAAUGUUGCCCCAGUGGAAACCAGAUGGAGGGCAUCCUAAGAUAAAUUUUACCGUAAAGGAAAAAGCAAGCCGGGCUUAGCAAUAGGGCCCAGUAGUUGCAAGGAAGCAGUGGUUCCAAACACAGCAUGUUGGCUGAUACUAGCACUUGAACCCAUUUCUCUAGUAGUGACUGAUCAUUCUGGUUUGGUGGGGACUGAUGAAUUUCCUGGCAAGUGGAACUUCCAGUGCUACAAUCAGGAAAGUCCUGGCAAACUGGAACGGUUGCUCAUCCUACCCUCUACUAGGGAGGUGUGGGUGGGACUUAGAGAAAGAAGCUUUGCAAGAAUGAUAAGACUGUGUAACUCAACACUGGACACAUUGGGCUUUGAGCAUCCUUGCGACGGGACCCAAACAAAGGAAGAUAUAUUUUCCUUCUUACCUCCCAAGGGUGGUAAUAGCAAUAAAGACCGUCAGUUUUGAAGUACACUAAUAGUAUUUGGUUGUGCCAACAUUUGGAGUAGCAGAUUUUCAGAACAUGGUGAUGAGUUGGUACAACAACACGAGCAAAGUUCCAGCCCACAGCACAUCCCUGUGAAGCUGUCAGAUGGAGGAUGUGGCACCUUGACUCGGCCACCCGUGGAAGCAAACAACGCCAGGAGUGACCCACCGACGCAUGAUCCUGCUCUUGGGAAGUUGGACCUCCGUACACACAGUCCCUUUGGAAGUCUCGUGAUUACCUGGAGAAGCACUGCAACUCGAGAGCUGGAGGCAGCAGUUGAGAAGUCAGACACUUUUAAACCCGGGCAUUUCCCAUCUUUUUCAUCGGAAUCUCUAAGGUAACUUGAAUGGGAACUUCAGUUCCGCAGGCAUCCUAAGACUGCAAAAUUGCCUCUAACUGUUAAGCUUUCUGCAUCUGCGUGAGCCUCACCCACAUUGACUAGGCCAGCACCUCCCACCUCCUAUUGCUCUCUCUCUCUCUUUUUCUAUUUGUUAAGUCAAUAUUUCCCUAUCGGAAGUAUUGUCUUCUCUUGCCCUAAAUUCAAAUUCUUCAAGGCUCUCAGAAGGUUAGAACAGGUGGAGACGCUAGCACUGAGCUAUCCCAACCCCUCCUUUUCACAGCUGAGGAAACUGGGGUCAGAGUGGUUAAGAGACUUACCUACAGGCACAGAGCAAUUUUCUGCAAAGUCAAGAACAGUCUGGAUUGCAUAAGAUGACGGGCCUCUGAAAUCACGCAGACCGCACAUGAGUCUCAGAUCUAUCCCUCAUCCUGUGUCCUCAGGCAUAACCACGUAACACAGCCUCUACAUCAUCUGUAAAAUGGGGACCAUAAAACAUAUAUUAAGGGUUGUUAUUUAGACUAAAUGAGAACUAGAAGAAUGUCUGGCCUACUAUAGGCUUUCAGUAAAUGUCAACUUCCUUUCUUUCAAAGACAAGACACCAAAAGCAGUAAAAUAUGUAGGAGAUUAAGAUGGCCAAAUCUCUCAAUUUAUUUUAGGCCACAUGUAAAUGAGACAGAACUUCUAUUCUUAACUGAUUUCUGUAAUGCUUAUCAUUUUCUAAAAACCCUGUAUCUCCACAGGAACUCCCUGAAAAAAAGAAUAUUUCUACCAAUGGCAGAACUUAGGAUUCUUGUGCUUCUCUUUUAGAGCCUGGAAAGUGCUUUUUCCUGGCAUUGUAAGGGGGCAGGGAUCCCCUUGACAUUGGCCUGUGUUACUCAGGAUAUAGCUCAAGAUCCAGAGGAUGGGCCUCCUGAUAAGAUUCACAUGGUAAUCAUAGAAAAUCAGGCUGAACGCCUAGCGUAGAAUCAGGAAGAUUACGAGAUGAAUGGACUGAUGUGAAUAUGAAACAUUGCCUGUUCUUCAAAGUGAGAAAGAAGAAAAGAAAGAUACUGUGAGUGGAAUGAGAACUUGAUAGCAAACUAGAGCUACAGCCUUGGAGAAGAUGGACGAUAGAAUGGAAUCUGUUAGACACACGCUCAUGGAGACUAGCAUUUGCCAGGGGCCCACUGUGUGCCAAGUUCUGCACUUGGACUUCAUACUCUAUCAUACUCUGCAGGUACACCUGCAAUGGAUUUUCAGUAAACCCUCUUUGGUUGAACGAGCAAAGCUUCAUCUUCUCCCCUCCAUGUGAAGUACUGUGGCCUGAGCCCAUCAUGUGCAGCCAGCAAGUGUGACCGACUUUGCAGGGGAAACUGGAGUUGAUUGUGCACACGUGCAGGAGGGGCCUUUGCUGGCAUUUAAUGUUCACUUUUGCAGUUGGAGUUUUCUGAAGCCAAAAUAGCAUUUAAAGUGAGUUAACCUGUCACCUGAUCCUUUAAGUCACUCAAAUAUUGAUUUAGUUCUUGUUUUCUUAUCAAGACAUCCAAAUAUUGGACAAAGACAGAUCUAAAUGUCAGAAAUCAUUCCAAAAUACUUAUAUACUUUUGAAUACAUUUUUAGUAUCAACUUAGCUUUUUUUCACAAGAUAUUUUUACAUGUUGUACAUAGAGACGAGUAGAUGUAGAGAUUGAAAAGCGAGAUUAUACAUUCCAUUCAACCACUCUCACGGAGGAGCUAAAUACGUCAAGAUGCGAGGUUCAGGAGGAGAUUACUGCCCUCAUGAAGGCCAUGUACUAGUGCACCAAGCAGCGAUUCUGUCCUUGUGCAUUAUCCUGAACGUAUUCAGGGAAAUGUGAAAUUCAACUGCCUGAAAACCAAAGAAAUUGCAAAUUUGUGAUGACUAUAACUAAUCUCUCUCUACUCCUAGUGAAAUGAUGCCUGUAAAGAACUUAACAGAGUGACUGACACAUAAUAAGUAUUCAAUAAUCAUUAUCUACCUUUCCCCUAAUGAUUGAGAAGAGAAUUAAUCAACUAUUUAUAAUGAAGUGGCGUGGAUGGGAAAUUGUUACUAGAAACUUCCAUCUAGCCAGAAGGACCCAAGCUGUUAUUGUGCUUUAAUUGAAUUUAUCAGAUAACUGUUUAAUUCAUUAACUUUACUUCCCCUGCAUGAACACAGAGCUAACUAUAUUGUGAAGGAAAUAAAAUGAAAGAGAAACAAAGAAAACCUUAAAAUAUAAAAUGUUGAAACUGUUGUGAAAAUUGCGAGGCACCUAAAACAAGAAAGACAACGUUACAAGAAAACACAAAACAUGUAUUAUAAAUGACCGGCUUCUGAGGAUAAUAUAAAGCUUUUACUGUGAUGAUAGACACAUCGGAUUCACAGCAAAUGCAUAGAGAUUGACUGAUAUCAUAUUAAAAGGAAUUGGCUAAUGUGCUUACUGAACGUGGAAUUUUCAAUUAUAAAGAAAGAAGAAUGUGCCAAAAUUCUAGAAGAAAGCAGGUUUGCACAGCAUCCUACAAGAUGGCUUGGCCUUUGCCUGAUGAUCCAGAAGGAAUCUUGUGUUCCCUACCUUACUGAGAGUCUGGCUUAAGGGCACAGGAGCACAAGUAGGGGCCUGCCACGCGGGGAACUCAGCCUCGAGACCUGGCAUUCCAGGAGCUUCUCCGCUCUGCCGGGAAAUUACACAGUUGGAUGGAGACAGGGAAUUGCUCUGCUGUUCCUCAGAAAGGAAGGACAGAGAUGCCAGCAACAACACCUCUUCCAGUGGCAUCUCCAUCUGGUCAGAUAGCUAAACAGUUAUAAAGGAGAACCUUGGUAAACCCCAGUGGGGAGGAUAGAAUUAUGCUCAAUAGGCAGGGUGAGCACAAAAUGCUGAGAACACAUCAUCCCAGACACGCUCAAUCGUUAUUUGUGUUAAAAUUACAAAAACACAAUUGGUUGUGGUAAACUGUAGUUGUUGUAUGUUUAGAAUUAUUGAAGUAAUAAAGAAUUGGCUCUCAGUCUCAUGACAUUUUACUGGCAAAUUCUUCUCAAACUGGUUUCGAUCUGAUUGUAAUCAUUCUGUAGGCUGAAAACUAGCUGGAACAUAUUAAAACAGAGCUUCCUGAUCCCGUGGAAAUCAAUCCAGUCAGAGAAUGGCCAAGUGGGUUGCCUCAGGGUAAAUGUUAGGCCUCAACAUGGCCUCCCUUCCAAAGGUGCAGCCUCUGAAAGCAUUUCACUACAUGGCAGCGUGAGCUCCUCGACUAGUUCUGGCCAAGUCUCUCAGACAAUUCACUGCCUGAUGUGUAUUCUAACUCCCACUAUAUCAGCCCGCUUCAGUCUGAUAAGAAACUGCUAGAGAGCAGGCUCUAUUUCUGUUUGUCCUGCAUGUAGAGUCUACACACUGGGCUCUACUGGCAGAGUCUGGGAAGAAUAAGAUGGUAACGCUUCAUAGUCAUUACCUGCCAUGCACUGUGUUAAGCAUUUUUAUGCAUUAUCUCAUUA